AACGAACGCUGGCGGCAUGCCUAACACAUGCAAGUCGAACGAGACCUUCGGGUCUAGUGGCGCACGGGUGCGUAACGCGUGGGAAUCUGCCCUUUGCUUCGGAAUAACAGUUAGAAAUGACUGCUAAUACCGGAUGAUGUCUUCGGACCAAAGAUUUAUCGGCAAAGGAUGAGCCCGCGUAGGAUUAGGUAGUUGGUGGGGUAAAGGCCUACCAAGCCGACGAUCCUUAGCUGGUCUGAGAGGAUGAUCAGCCACACUGGGACUGAGACACGGCCCAGACUCCUACGGAGGCAGCAGUGGGGAAUAUUGGACAAUGGGCGAAAGCCUGAUCCAGCAAUGCCGCGUGAGUG
rnacentral:rRNA from 1 species